rnacentral:rRNA from 1 species
AGCGAACGCUGGCGGCAGGCUUAACACAUGCAAGUCGAGCGGGCAUCUUCGGAUGUCAGCGGCAGACGGGUGAGUAACACGUGGGAACGUACCCUUCGGUUCGGAACAACUCUGGGAAACUGGAGCUAAUACCGGAUACGCCCUUAUGGGGAAAGGUUUACUGCCGAAGGAUCGGCCCGCGUCUGAUUAGCUAGUUGGUGGGGUAACGGCCUACCAAGGCGACGAUCAGUAGCUGGUCUGAGAGGAUGAUCAGCCACACUGGGACUGAGACACGGCCCAGACUCCUACGGGAGGCAGCAGUGGGGAAUAUUGGACAAUGGGCGCAAGCCUGAUCCAGCCAUGCCGCGUGAGUGAUGAAGGCCUUAGGGUUGUAAAGCUCUUUUGUCCGGGACGAUAAUGACGGUACCGGAAGAAUAAGCCCCGGCUAGCUUCGUG